rnacentral:rRNA from 1 species
AUUGAACGCUGGCAGCAGGCUUAACACAUGCAAGUCGAGCGGGGUGAUGGUGCUUGCACUAUCACUUAGCGGCGGACGGGUGAGUAAUGCUUAGGAAUCUGCCUAUUAGUGGGGGACAACAUCUCGAAAGGGAUGCUAAUACCGCAUACGGCCUACGGGAGAAAGCAGGGGAUCUUCGGACCUUGCGCUAAUAGAUGAGCCUAAGUCGGAUUAGCUAGUUGGUGGGGUAAAGGCCUACCAAGGCGACGAUCUGUAGCGGGUCUGAGAGGAUGAUCCGCCACACUGGGACUGAGACACGGGCCAGACUCCUACGGGAGGCAGCAGUGGGGAAUAUUGGACAAUGGGGGGAACCCUGAUCUAGCCAUGCCGCGUGUGUGAAGAAGGCCUUAUGGUUGUAAAGCACUUUAAGCGAGGAGGAGGCUACUUUAGUUAAUACCUAGAGAUAGUGGACGUUACUCGCAGAAUAAGCACCGGCUAACUCUGUGCCAGCCGCCGCAGUAA